CCGUAACACUUUGUGUCCGCUCCAUAUCUAGAGAACCAUUAUGAUUUCAUACUUUAUACUUUACAUGUUUAUUAACCACCACCAGAGGGCGUGUCAUGAUGUAUGUACAACUUCCUAGGUCAAAGGUCAAGGUCGAAAAACUUUGGUUUCAGUUGACAACCCUGUGUCCUGUGGUGAAGAUCGUGUCCGCUCUAUAUCUUGAGAACCGUUAGGAUUUCAAAGUUUAUACUUGACAUGUAUAUGAACCAACACCAGAGGGUGUGUCAUAAUUUAUAAACGACUGCCUAGGGCAAAGUUCAAGGUUAAAAACUUUGGUUUCAGUUGACAACCCCAUGUCCUGUGGUGAAGAGCGUGUCCGCUUUAUAUCUUGAGAACCGUUAUGAUUUCAAAGUUUAUACUUGACAUGUAUAUGAACCAACACCAGAGGGUGUGUCAUAAUUUAUGAACGACUGCCUAGGGCAAAGUUCAAGGUCAAAAACUUUGGUUUCAGUUGACAACCCUGUGUCCUGUGGUGAAGAUCGUGUCCGCUCUAUAUCUUGAGAACCGUUAUGAUUUCAAAGUUUAUACUUGACAUGUUUAUAAACCAACACCAAAGGGUGUGUCAUAAUUUAUUUACAACUUCCUAGGUCAAAGGUCAAGGUCAAAAACUUUGAUUUCAGUUGACAAACCCAUGUCCUAUGGUAAAGAUACAAUUUUUUAAUGCACAUUAUUCACAGCGGGGCCCACAGAGAUGGCUCCCAUCUCAAUGAUAUCUAGUUCAUUUUAAAAA
rnacentral:lncRNA from 1 species